CCUACGGGAGGCAGCAGUAGGGAAUCUUCCACAAUGGGCGCAAGCCUGAUGGAGCAACACCGCGUGAGUGAAGAAGGGUUUCGGCUCGUAAAGCACUGUUGUUGGAGAAGAACGGGCGUGAGAGUAACUGUUCACGCAGUGACGGUAUCCAACCAGAAAGUCACGGCUAACUACGUGCCAGCAGCCGCGGUAAUACGGAGGGGGCAAGCGUUAUCCGGAUUUAUCGGGCGUAAAGCGAGCGCAGGCGGUUGCUUAAGUCUGAUGUGAAAUCCUCGGGCUUAACCGAAGAAGUGCAUCGGAAACCGGGAGACUUGAGUGUCGAAGAGGAGGGUAGAACUCCAUGUGUAGCGGUGGAAUGCGUAGAGAUCUGGAAGAACACCAGUGGCGAAGGCGGCUGUCUGGUCUGCAACUGACGCUGAGGUUCGAAAGCAUGGGUAGCAAACAGGAUUAGAUACCCCAGUAGUC
rnacentral:rRNA from 1 species